GUUCUAAUCUCAGAGGAUGUGGGCCAGAGCAGUGUGGAUGGAAAAUGAGAAGGAAGUAGAAGGUAUUAUUCAGGGCACUGGAUCAAAGACUGUGUGGUGGCCCCCAAAUAAAUAGGACAAAGCAAGAAAGGAUUGGUCCACAACCUCUUCUGAUGAGAAAACUGACAUCAGGUAAAUAGCAGAUACAUUAUACUUGAUAAUGCAAUAAGUAAAAACUGCUGUUUGUUAAUAUUGACUGUUAAAUGUUUAAAGCCUCACCCCACUUCGAAAUCACCGAAGCCAGUGAAGUAGAGAAGACCCCCCCCCCAAGAGAAACCAAAAGAAAACUACAUUCAAAGAAUGUAUAACUGCCGCUACUGCCUCCAAGUUAUGCCAAGGUUUACACCCCACCGAAAUAUGCUCCGAAACACUAGAAAACCUGUGCCACUGCUACCAAGAAGCAAAAGGCUAAAACGCAGCACAAAGCCACCAACUAAUGACAGUGAGGACGACCCUUCACAAUGCUUAUCCAAGCCCAACUAAAAUCUGCUCCCAAGUGCCAGAAAACCUGUGCCCAUGCCACUAAGAAGCAAAGUAUUGGUGGUAAGGGGAAAUGGCAAACUGAAACACCCAGCAAGCCACCAAGUAUUGUUGGUGAGGGGAAAUGGCAAACUGAAACACCCAGCAAGCCACCAAGUAUUGGUGGUGUGGGGAAAUGGCAAACUGAAACACCCAGCAAGCCACCAAGUAUUGUUGGUGUGGGGAAAUGGCAAACUGAAACACCCAGCAAGCCACCAAGUAUUGUUGGUGAGGGGAAAUGGCAAACUGAAACACCCAGCAAGCCACCAAGUAUUGUUGGUGUGGGGAAAUGGCAAACUGAAACACCCAGCAAGCC
rnacentral:lncRNA from 13 species